rnacentral:rRNA from 1 species
CCCUUAGAUGUCCUGGGCCGCACGCGUGCUACACUGACGCAUACAGCGAGCACUUUCCAGUUCCGAGAGGCUACUGGUAAUCAUCAAUAUGCGUCGUGAUGGGGAUAGAUCUUUGGAAUUCUGGAUCUUGAACGAGGAAUGCCUAGUAAUCGCAGGUCGUUAGCCUGCGAUGAUUAAGUCCCUGCCCUUUGUACACACCGCCCGUCGCUACUACCGAUUUCGAGUGGUCAGGUGAAUCUUUCGGACUGUGGGCGCCCUUGAGGUGUUCGCGGAAAGUCAGGUAAAUCUUAUCACUUAGAGGAAGUAAAAGUCGUAACA